rnacentral:rRNA from 1 species
AAAUGUGAUAAGUAAUGUGAAUUGCAGAAUUCAGUGAAUCAUCAAAUCUUUGAACGCACCUUGCACCUUUUGGCAUUCCAAAAGGUAUACCUGUUUGAGUGUCAU